UAGUGACAAGAAAUAACAAUACAGAACCUUACGGUUUUGUAAUUGGAAUGAGUUAAGUAUAAACCCCUUAACAAGUAUCAAUUGGAGGGCAAGUCUGGUGCCAGCAGCCGCGGUAAUUCCAGCUCCAAUAGCGUAUAUUAAAGUUGUUGCAGUUAAAAAGCUCGUAGUUAAUCUUCUGUUAAUUUUUAUAUAUAAUAUCACGAUAUUUAUAUAAUAUUAACAUAAUUCAUAUUACUUUUUAGUAUAUGAAACUUUACUUUGAGAAAAUUAGAGUGCUUAAAGCAGGCUAUUGCCUUG
rnacentral:rRNA from 1 species